rnacentral:tRNA from 1 species
GGGGCUGUAGCUCAGUUGGGAGAGCGCAUCGUUCGCAAUGAUGAGUCAGGGGUUCGAUCCCCCUCAGCUCCA